UAUGGAGAAGACUAACCUCGGGAAACUGAGGAUAGUGUUUCAUAGUUGAAUAGGCUUGGAAAAGUUUUUCAAUGAAAGGAAUAAGAUAAAUGGUUCUUAUUUGCCAUAGGAUAGGAUCGUGGUCGAUUAUGGUAGUUGGUGAGAUAACGGCUCACCAAGCCGAUAAUCGAUAGGGGCCGUGAGAGCGGGAGCCCCAAGAUGGGUACUGAGACAGCGACCCAGGCCUUACGAGGCGCAGCAGGCGCGAGACCUCCGCAAUACACGAAAGUGUGACGGGGUUACCCAAAGUGUUCUCUUAAGAACUGUGGUAGGUGAGUAAUGUCCCCUGCUAGAAAGGAGAGGGCAAGGCUGGUGCCAGCCGCCGCGGUAAAACCAGCUCUUCAAGUGGUCGGGAUAAUUAUUGGGCUUAAAGUGUCCGUAGCCGGUUUAGUAAGUUCCUGGUAAAAUCGGGUAGCUUAACUAUCUGCAUGCUAGGAAUACUGCUAUACUAGAGGGCGGGAGAGGUCUGAGGUACUACAGGGGUAGGGGUGAAAUCUUAUAAUCCUUGUAGGACCACCAGUGGCGAAGGCGUCAGACUGGAACGCGCCUGACGGUGAGGGACGAAAGCCAGGGGAGCGAACCGGAUUAGAUACCCGGGUAGUCCUGGCCGUAAACGAUGCAUACUAGGUGAUGGUACGGCCAUGAGCCGUAUCAGUGCCGUAGGGAAACCGUUAAGUGUGCCGCCUGGGAAGUACGGUCGCAAGGCUAAAACUUAAAGGAAUUGGCGGGGGAGCACCACAAGGGGUGAAGCCUGCGGUUCAAUUGGACACAACGCCGGGAAACUUACCAGGGGAGACAGCAGAAUGAGGGUCAGGUUGACGACCUUACCUGAUGAGCUGAGAGGAGGUGCAUGGCCGUCGCCAGUUCGUGCUGUGAGGUAUCCUGUUAAGUCAGGCAACGAACGAGAUCCGCACCUUUAUUUGCCAACAAGAAGUUACGACUUCGUUGGGAACACUAAAGGGACCGCCGUCGAUAAGACGGAGGAAGGAGCGGGCAAAGGCAGGUCGGUAUGCCCCGAAACCCCUGGGCUACACGCGGGCUGCAAUGGUAUGAACAAUGGGCUGUAACUCCGAAAGGAGAAACCAAUCCCGAAAUCAUAUCACAGUGGGGAUUGUUGGCUGUAACCCGCCGACAUGAACGUGGAAUCCCUAGUAAUCGUGUGUCAUCAUCGCACGGUGAAUACGUCUCUGCUCCUUGCACACACCGCCCGUCGCUCCAUCCGAGUGUACUAAAAAUGAGGUUUGGUCAGACUGGUCAUAUCGAGUUUCUAGUAUGCGAGGAGGGAGAAGUCGUAACAAGGUA
rnacentral:rRNA from 1 species